AAAUCAUCCCUAAUCCAACCUAAUUGAGCAUACUUCAAAACAGAUUAGCAAGAAAGACUGCCUUCUUUCUGGAUGCUUCAAAGGAAGAGGUAUGAACUCAGCACAAGGUUGUAUUAUGUGUAAAUGUAUUUUUUGAAAAGACUAGAGGGAUAUACAGAGUCUACAGUGGUUCCUUAGACCGAUGGCAAAAGCCAUUCUCAUUUUACUAUACUUUAUUUACUAUA
rnacentral:lncRNA from 1 species